rnacentral:rRNA from 1 species
UACGUAGGGAGCUAGCGUUGUCCGGAAUUAUUGGGCGUAAAGAGCUUGUAGGCGGUUUGUCGCGUCUGCUGUGAAAUUUCGGGGCUCAACCCCGAACUUGCAGUGGGUACGGGCAGACUAGAGUGUGGUAGGGGGAGACUGGAAUUCCUGGUGUAGCGGUGAAAUGCGCAGAUAUCAGGAGGAACACCGAUGGCGAAGGCAGGUCUCUGGGCCAUAACUGACGCUGAGAAGCGAAAGCAUGGGGAGCGAACAGG